rnacentral:rRNA from 1 species
AGCGAACGCUGGCGGCAGGCCUAACACAUGCAAGUCGAACGAACUCUUCGGAGUUAGUGGCGGACGGGUGAGUAACACGUGGGAACGUGCCUUUUGGUUCGGAAUAACUCAGGGAAACUUGUGCUAAUACCGAAUGUGCCCUUCGGGGGAAAGAUUUAUCGCCAUUAGAGCGGCCCGCGUCUGAUUAGCUAGUUGGUGAGGUAACGGCUCACCAAGGCGACGAUCAGUAGCUGGUCUGAGAGGAUGACCAGCCACACUGGGACUGAGACACGGCCCAGACUCCUACGGGAGGCAGCAGUGGGGAAUCUUGCGCAAUGGGCGAAAGCCUGACGCAGCCAUGCCGCGUGAAUUAUGAAGGUCUUAGGAUUGUAAAAUUCUUUCACCGGGGACGAUAAUGACGGUACCCGGAGAAGAAGCCCCGGCUAACUUCGUG